rnacentral:rRNA from 1 species
UGGGGAAUAUUGCACAAUGGGCGAAAGCCUGAUGCAGCAACGCCGCGUGAGUGAUGAAGGCCUUCGGGUUGUAAAGCUCUGUCUUUUGGGACGAUAAUGACGGUACCAAAGGAGGAAGCCACGGCUAACUACGUGCCAGCAGCCGCGGUAAUACGUAGGUGGCAAGCGUUGUCCGGAUUUUACUGGGCGUAAAGGAUGCGUAGGCGGAUUUUUAAGUGAGAUGUGAAAUACCCGGGCUUAACUUGGGUGCUGCAUUUCAAACUGGGAAUCUAGAGUGCGGGAGAGGAGAAUUGGAAUUCCUAGUGUAGCGGUGAAAUGCGUAGAGAUUAGGAAGAACACCAGUGGCGAAGGCGAUUCUCUGGACCGUAACUGACGCUGAGGCAUGAAAGCGUGGGUAGCAAACAGGAUUAGAUACCCUGGUAGUCCACGCCCU